GUUUCAGGCUGCACAGCGGAGCCUCUGCCGGGAGAGGGGAGCCAAGAGAACAUGGGUAGACACGCCAAGCAAUGCCACAAGAAACACGGCUUUUCCCUAGCAUGGCACCCCCCGUGCGACUUGAUGUAGUGGACUUCACGGAUUGUAGGAUUGUUGUGGGCCCAGAGGUCUGGCCUGGCCAGAAUGAGAUGAAACACCAGUUGUCUGAAACAAAAGGAGCCCAGUCCUCAAGAAUCCAAAAGGCAGUAUCUUCCUGAGGAGUCUGGGAUGUGGAUCUUCAGUAUCAAGGUAAGUCCUGUAAAAUUUAAGAAUCAAUGAAUUCCACACUGGGGAACUCUGUCAGUCUUGGCAGAUGCAAGUUGGUACCUGGGGAAUGAGUGGAAGAAAAGGCAUUAGAAAAAUAGGAAAGACUUCAGAAGGGGAAAAGAGGUGGGUACAUAGAAGGGGG
rnacentral:lncRNA from 1 species